rnacentral:rRNA from 1 species
UGAGCAAUCUGCCCUUCACAUCGGAAUAACCAUUGGAAACGAUGGCUAAUACCGAAUAUGACUUCGGAUCGCAUGAUCUGAAGUGGGAAAGCUCCGGCGGUGAAGGAUGAGCUCGCGGCCUAUCAGCUUGUUGGUGAGGUAAUAGCUCACCAAGGCGAUGACGGGUAGCCGGCCUGAGAGGGUGACCGGCCACACUGGGACUGAGACACGGCAAGA